GUCAUGGGCGCAGCCUGAUGCAGCCAUGCCGCGUGUAUGAAGAAGGCCUUCGGGUUGUAAAGUACUUUCAGUCGUGAGGAAGGCGGCGUCGUUAAUAGCGGCGUUGUUUGACGUUAGCGACAGAAGAAGCACCGGCUAACUCCGUGCCAGCAGCCGCGGUAAUACGGAGGGUGCGAGCGUUAAUCGGAAUUACUGGGCGUAAAGCGCAUGCAGGUGGUUUGUUAAGUCAGAUGUGAAAGCCCGGGGCUCAACCUCGGAAUAGCAUUUGAAACUGGCAGACUAGAGUACUGUAGAGGGGGGUAGAAUUUCAGGUGUAGCGGUGAAAUGCGUAGAGAUCUGAAGGAAUACCGGUGGCGAAGGCGGCCCCCUGGACAGAUACUGACACUCAGAUGCGAAAGCGUGGGGAGCAAACAGGAUUAGAUACCCUGGUAGUCCACGCCGUAAACGAUGUCUACUUGGAGGUUGUGGCCUUGAGCCGUGGCUUUCGGAGCUAACGCGUUAAGUAGACCGCCUGGGGAGUACGGUCGCAAGAUUAAAACUCAAAUGUUUUGUGAGCCGGGGGAA
rnacentral:rRNA from 1 species